UACAGAGGGUGCGAGCGUUAAUCGGAAUUACUGGGCUUAAAGCGCGCGUAGGCGGCUCUGCAAGUCGGGUGUGAAAUCCCCAGGCUUAACCUGGGAACUGCAUUCGAGACUGCAUUGCUAGAGUAUGGGAGAGGGAAGUGGAAUUUCCGGUGUAGCGGUGAAAUGCGUAGAUAUCGGAAGGAACAUCAGUAGCGAAAGCGGCUUCCUGGGCCAAUACUGACGCUGAUGUGCGAAAGCGUGGGGAGCAAACAGG
rnacentral:rRNA from 1 species